GAUAGCAGCGAUGUCGACGCCGACGCCGUCGUCGACAGCGACGUAAGCUAUGCGUUUUAUUUGUUUACAUUUCGUAACAUUCCGGCUGCUGUUAGCUAACAGUGCGCGUAACAGCUGUUAGGCGAGCCGAAGCAUGCGUCUGUUAUUGUUCGUGCAAAGGACUCUGCGGCAUGUGGUGGGCAGAGCAGAAAGCAGGAAGCAGGGGGCAACUCGAACUCGGAGCUCGGCUGGCUGCUGCACGUGGCUGCUGCUGCUGGAUGCUGAUGCUGCUGCUCAGUUAGAAAUUCAGUUUCAGUCGAAGCAGUGCAGCCAACGAGUCGCUACUCAUCUGUCCCAUUUGUUGUCCGUGGUCGCUGUGUGGUCGCUGUUGCCGUUGCUGUUGACGUUCUGCCGUGGCUGCCACGUUGCGACGUGUGCUCGUGUGUUGCCGCCGCUCAGUCGAGGUCGUGGUCUCGCAUGAAGCGGUCGACAAGUCGCAUCAAUUCAGCUAUUUGAAUCGCAGCCAGUUAAGUCAGCGUAGUUUGUGCCACGUGCGGUUGCCGUUGCCGUUGUCCAUAGUCCGUUUCACAGCCGGAAUCGGAGAGGCGAGCUCCUUGGGCGCUGCGUCGCGUUAACAUCAAUUUUAGCGGCCAAAAAGAUCUGGCCAAUCCACCAAAAUUUCCUUUUGUGCAUACUAUUAUUUAUUUUUUUUUUGCGUGAAUUAUUGUACCGUUAAUUGCAGUUAGUGAAGCGGGCCAAGCAAGCGAAUUUCCCUGCCGAUAGAACAGCCUGGGCAAACAUUCUGCACUUCAAAGGCAUUUUCCAUAGAUCGAAUUAAUUGAAACUGAAAUGCGUUUCGGCUUACCCCCGGUCAGCCUCUAAUGACUUUCGAAAGUAUUUAAAACGGCAGCCCGAAACCAGCUCGCAGCUCGCUUAAUUUCUUUUGGCCAAAAACUUUGCCAAGUGCCAAAGCAAAAAAAAGCAAAAAGAAACAAUAACAAAAUUAAAUUACAAAUUACAGCUCAACUGAAGCUCUGUCUAAAUGAGUUUGGAAUUUGGCAGCUGUGUGUGACAAAUUGAAUCAAUUUUUGCAAAUAUACAGGACAUGAAAUAAACAAAUGAAACUCUUCAAAGACAACGCUACCGAAGGGCAUCAAUAAAUAAAUGUGCAUAUACUUGAAAAUAAUUUUUUCAGUAUAAGAACAACAAAAAGGGAAUAAGAAAAAACU